rnacentral:lncRNA from 1 species
UCCCGCCCGACUGCCUGCUGUGCCAGCCCCAGACCUUUGGCUGCCACCCCCUGGUCGGCUGUGAGGAGUGUAACUGCUCAGGGCCCGGCAUCCAGGAGCUCACAGACCCUACCUGUGACACAGACAGCGGCCAGUGCAGUGCAGACCCAACGUGACUGGGCGCCGCUGUGAUACCUGCUCUCCGGGCUUCCAUGGCUACCCCCGCUGCCGCCCCUGUGACUGUCACGAGGCGGGCACUGCGCCUGGCGUGUGUGACCCCCUCACAGGGCAGUGCUACUGUAAGG